UACGUAGGGUGCAAGCGUUGUCCGGAAUUAUUGGGCGUAAAGAGCUUGUAGGCGGUUUGUCGCGUCUGCUGUGAAAUUUCGGGGCUCAACCCCGAACUUGCAGUGGGUACGGGCAGACUAGAGUGUGGUAGGGGAGACUGGAAUUCCUGGUGUAGCGGUGAAAUGCGCAGAUAUCAGGAGGAACACCGGUGGCGAAGGCGGCGUCCUGGACCAACACUGACACUGAUGAGCGAAAGCCAGGGGAGCAAACGGG
rnacentral:rRNA from 1 species